GAGGAACUAGCCUUAGCGAGGCCAUGGGGGAAAAAGUCUAACUGGCGGAACUCCUGGGAACUGGGGCGAUGGGCUCUUAGUAUCGGAGGAUUGGAGCCAUCUGAUUUUUACCUGAAAUUCCUUAGUCUCUCCUGUGUUGGGGAAAUGGUCACCUUGCCUUCAGGGACCUGGGCUUUCAGCUGUCCAUACCUGGCCCUGGUUGAUGGCGGCAUGCUGGGCAGUGCACGUGAAGACGCACAUGAGACCGGGACUUGCUGUGUUGCCCAGGCUGGUCUUGAACUCCUGGUCUUAAGCAAUCAUACUGCUUUGGCCACCCAAAGCACUGGGAUUACAGGCGUGAACCACCACACCCAGCUCUUAAAACCACAGUAUUUCUAGGUCAGUAUAACACACCUGCCCCAGGGACUUACAGGUGUGGCAGAAGCUUGGACUUCUGGCUUUUCUCUCUCUUGCACCCAGGCACGCUGCAGCUACCAUUUCCUCCCUUCACUACGUUUUAGAUUCUUUCCUUUUCAUUCCUGUCAUUACCAUGCUAACAUACAUCUCUAUCCACCUUACUGUUGGGCAGGUAUGAGCGGCUUGCUGGCUGUUCUUCCUUGCCUUUUGGUCUGUUUCUACUUAGCUGACUCCUCAAUUGGGUAGAAACAUUCUUCAUCAAUACUAUACUGUUAUAGGCUGUCCCUUGUGAUUUCAAACUCUAGUACCAGAUACUGUUCUCUGGUUGGUUCUUAUGGGCAUCACUUGUUUUUCUGGCUAAAUACUAGAUCUAAGGUAGGAAUAUGGCUUUUGUUUUACUAGCAGUGUUCAAGCCCUACUGUGAGCGCACUGCUAGACUGUCAGAUCUCUGAGAAUUUCAGAGGAUUCCUAUAUAAUGUUAAGUGACUAAACUUAAUAAACUUAAUUAAAAUCAACAUCUCAAGAUAUUGAGACAGUCUCCUCUUCACUCACAAAUUGCUACAAAGAGUUUUUGCUGCUGCAAUAUCUUUUGAUAUGGGGCUGUUCCUCUCUCUGGGGUCUGAGGGAUAUGUGAUUUAAUAGAUUAAUAAGUACCUUGAAGAUGGGGUGCAGUCCUGGGAGGCACCGCAUGGUGGCGACAGCGAUGACCUCAGCCACCAGGUGAGUGUUCAGCAAGUGAUACUGGAUCUCGUGCAGUUGGAAAUCUGAAUUUCGGACCCAGGACUUUGCCAGGAGCCAGGCAAGUGGGGGGUCUGAGGGCAGGAACAGUGUUGGGGUUGGAGAGCUGGGGUUGGGAGGCUGAAUCUGGGAGAAAGAGAAAUUAUUGAACUCCCAUUCCGUAUAUGACAUUAUAGUCAGCAUUCUUGGGGAAACAGAGAUGACUAAGUAAGAUUAUUGCCUUCUAGGAGGUUAUAGUCUAGCAGGAGGACUGUGAACCCUCCCAGCCUGCCGCUCGCUAGCUGGAGUGCCCUGAUGUCAGGUGGAAGGCAGGAGGGACUGGAAGAAGGGGGUCCAGAAGGAGGCCCUAACAGUGGUGUGGGAGAAACCUGCUGCUUUGGGGUCGGCGCUCAGAUGGUGGUGGAAUGUGAAGGAGAAGUAGGAGGUGUAAGAUUAUUGACAGUUCUUGUCACCUGACUGUUAAGAAUAGUGAGAGAAGGCCAGGUGCAGUGGCUCACACCUGUAAUCCCAGCACUUUGGGAGGCCGAGGCAGGCAGAUUACUUGAGCCCAGAAGUUCAAGACCAGCCUGGGCAAUAUGGCGAAACCCCAUCUCUAC
ensembl:lncRNA MIR497HG mir-497-195 cluster host gene